UACGUAGGGUGCGAGCGUUAAUCGGAAUUACUGGGCGUAAAGCGAGCGUAGUCGGUUAUUUAAGUCGGAUGUGAAAUCCCCGGGCUCAACCUGGGAAUUGCAUUCGAUACUGGAUAGCUAGAGUUCGGCAGAGGGAAGCGGAAUUUCGGGUGUAGCGGUGAAAUGCGCAGAUAUCAGGAGGAACACCGGUGGCGAAGGCGGGUCUCUGGGCCGAUACUGACGCUGAGGAGCGAAAGCGUGGGGAGCGAACAGG
rnacentral:rRNA from 1 species